GCUGGGCGUAGUGGUGCGUGCCUGUAGUCCCAGCUACUUGGGAGGCUGAGGCAGGAGAAUCACUUGAACACGGGAGGCGGAGGUUGCAGUGAGCCAAGAUGGCACCACUGCACUCCACCCUGGUGACAGAGCGAGACUCCGUCUCAAAAAAAAAAAAAAAAAAAAGAGAGACGGAGUUUCACUCUUGUUGCCCAGGAUGGCAUGCAGCAACACGAUCUCUGCUCACUGCAACCUCUGCCUCCUGGGUUCAAGUGAUUCUCCUGCCUCA
rnacentral:sRNA from 1 species